rnacentral:lncRNA from 1 species
AGCUCCAACUGGGGCGACUUGUGGAGGGUGGUUCCUGGGACAACGCCCAUGCCGUGAUCAGGAACGGGGUCAGCAGGAGUCAGGUGGGGAAGUGCCAGGUGUCCACUGCCACGACCAACACGUUACUCACACUCACGGCACAAGAAUGGCCUCUGUACCCUGUGUGUAGAACUUUCCAGGCCCAGGUUCCCCAUGCGGGGCUGCCUGAGCACCCCCACCCUAUGGCCAGCCCUGCUGCCCUGGCUUCCACCUCCAGAUCCUUCCUGCCAUGUCCCCCUCCAAUCAGAGCCGACCCACACUGUGUCCCUCCCAGUGGCUCUACUGCCUACUGAACACGUGCACCAUCACCGCCGUGGGGCCCACAGAGUCAAGGCUAUAAAGAGGGACUGAGAACACCGUGACGCCCUGGCCUGCGCACCCUCCUCUGCUCCAUCUGGGUCUGUCCGGAUGGCAGAGGCUCAGAGGGUCUGCCCCUACCAGAUGGUGGAGGCUCAGAAUGUCUGAGCCAGAAAAAGCAUGAAAGAAAACUUAGCCUUCCUCCUCCCAGUUAACAGGCUGGGUCCUGAGGGCACAGUGUCCAGCACGGAGGACACACAGUAAAUAUUCCCAGAAGGAGUGAUGGGUGAACGAAUAAAUAGAAUCUCACCCUGCCACCAUGAUUAAAUUCAGCCCCAAACUUACCUGUCCCAUUGUUUCCAUAUCCUGCCACCUCUGAGGCCUAAUCUGAAGAACUGAUUUGUGCCAGUGGACGAGCACUAUUUCUCUAGGUGAGACAUGCAGGUGUCAACAGGAAAUGUCCUGAGAUGUAAUUCUUCAACCCAGGAAGCCACUCCAAUCAAGAGAACAUAAAGCAAUGGUGAUGGGAUGUGGGGGUUCCAUGGGGCUUGGAUGCCCUGAGGAGGGCCUCAAAUCACAGAAUGAUGAAGGUCUUCUGGAUGCAGUGGCAGGGCAGGAGAGGUAUUGCCCUGGGACUCGAGAUGGGACCACAGCCAAUUGCUCACUCAGCCAUGGCCUGUGGGUCUGACACUGGGACCUCACUAACCCUCUUUUAACACUCCUAUCUGUAAGUAGGGAUCAUGACCCACACUUUGCAGGGGUUCUGAUGCUGCAAAAUUCUGGCGCUUUCUACAUGAUAAGGUCUUUGCUCACCAAAUGGAAGAGACUGCGUGCAGGUAGCAUGGGCCUGCCUACUGCAGGUGGGGUGCUUUGGGCUGCAAGUAACAGAAAAUCCAACUCAAAGUGAAUUGUGUGAUAAAGACAAUGCACCACCUCGCUUAUCAUGGUCUGAGUUCCUCCAUGAGGGUUGCCGCCUGGUGCGUCCUCUGUAAGCUCCCUGAAGCAGGGGCCUAGGCUGACCUUUUUUCUCCACUGCCCCCGAGAGCAUAGACCAGGGCCUGGCACAGAGAAGGCGUCCAGUGAGGAUUCCACCCAGGACACCAUCAAACCCUCAUCGCUACAUGGUCUAUUAAGUUGUGUUCCCCCAACAGCAGUUAAAGAAACCAAAGCUUGGCCAGGCACGGUGGCUCACGCCUGUAAUCCCAGCACUUUGGGAGGCCGAGGUGGGUGGGUCACUUGAGGUCAGGAGUUCGAGACCAGCCUGACCAAUAUGGUGAAAUCCCAUCUCUACUAAAAAUAAGAAUACAAAAAUUAGCUGGGCGUGGUGGCAUGUGCCUGUAGUCUCAGCUACUCAGGAGGCUGAGACAGGAGAAUUGCUUGAACCUGGGAGGCGGAGGUUGCAGUGAGCCAAGAUUGCGCCAUUGCACUCCAACCUGGGCAAUGAGAGUGAAACUCCGUCUAAAAAAAAAAAAAAGAAGAAGAAGAAAGAAACUAGAAACUAAAGCUAAGGGAAGAUAAAUUACCUGCAUGACAUAUUGAAGCACACAGAGGACAGUCCUGGCAUUCCCUACUCUGGGCUCUGGCCAUAACCCUGACAACCCUGCUACUCUACUGUCCUCCCUGGCCUCUCUCAGGCCAGUUUGUCCUCAGAUCGGGCAGUGUGGGAGUUGACAAACCAGUCAACCCAGACUCAGAUGACGCAGAAGUCUGCCCAACACAGAAGUCCACCAACCAUUGCAUUGUGAUCAUUGCACCGAGGACAUAAAUUCAGCAACAUGUGCUGGGUCAGCUGCCUCGUUUUUCUCCAAAGUAGCAAAUUUAUGGGGCACACGUGCACAUGGGUGAUUAUUUCCCAAUAGUUUAUAGUAUCAAGCCUCCUUUCUUUCCUCCCAAUAAAUCUAAUUUAUAUGGAUUGGCAGAUCAAACAGUGCAUUUCCUGGCAUCGAGAGGCUGUGAGUCACUCACAGUGCUUUAGGAAACUUGGGGAGAUUAAGGUUUUGCAUAAUGCAAAUGCGGAUGGAAACAUAUUUGGACUGCCUCGCUGUGGAUGCAAUUAGAGCAAUGAGCACCAGGAGAAAUACUUUUUCCCAGGACACAGCAAGGUCUGCUUGGUAUGCAAAGAGCACAGUUAUUUGCGACACCAGAGCCUGGAACGUGGUGAGCAAAGCACCCAGUGACGGUUUGAUUUGCAGCUUUAAGGAAUUCAAAGAUGAAUAAAACAUUAAAUUAAUUGCCAAAGAACUGUUGCCAAGCCUGCAUGAGAUCUAAUGAAGGCACACAUGCAAAAAACCAACACACACAGAACAACAAACCAAAACUGGGCCUGCGGGAUGCUACCUGCCCCAAGCCCCCGAAACCACAUUUGGUUUUGAGUAUUUUGUCCUACUUGGAAUUUUCUCUCAUCAAUACUCAUCUCAAGUCCUCUCAGCCACGAAAGCUCUCUCCGCUUCCCCCAGCCCACAGGACGCUCCUUCGACUGUUUCCUUGUUCACUGGGGAAAUGUUGACUGAGCACCUGCUAUGUGUCAGGCACUGCUUUCCCAGACGCUGGGGAAACAGCACUGAACGAACCAGGCCACAAUCCCUGCCCUGGUGGCUGCCUUCCUGCGGGGAGUAUGAUAAUAAGCAAAAUAGAGAAAUUAAUAUAUUGGAAAGUGCUCAGUGCUACGGAGAAAACAAAGAUGAAGUGGGGAUAGGAAAUGCCGGGAGAACAUCGGGAGGGGUGAGGAGAGAAGGCCCAGGAGGAGGGGCGUCCUUCCCAGGCAGCUGUCACAGGCCCCUAGCUGAGCUCUCAUGGCAGACACAGCCCAGGACACUCAGACCCAGAGUGACUACGAGCCCCGGCAAGACGUGGAGGAGCAGAGUUACAACCCGUCAAGAGCCUGAUUUCAGGUUGAAACCAGGCUUCACCAUGCAGCAGCUGUGUGGCCUCAGGGAAGUUACUGAACCCCUCUGAGCCUCCCAUGGAAAAUAAGGAUGAUGGUUCCCCUCACAGGGUUGUCGGGAGGAUUCAGUGUCCUCCUUCAGGUCUUGACUCGGAUGUUGCCUCUGAGUGAGGGCGUCUUUGGCCACCCCAUUUAAAGUGCCAACCCUGACACUUCCUCCCUCCUUUCCCCUCUGUCCUCUUCCUGGCUCUUAUCACCAUCAGACAAACCAAGUUUUCACUUCUUGAUCAUUGUCCAGCCCCUGCUGUGAAAUGUGAAGUCCUAAGACACAGGCUUUUUUUGUUUGUUACGUUCAUUGCUUUAGAAGGAAUUAAGGACAAGCUACCCCAAAUGACGUCACUUUGGUAUAUGGAUUAUUUUGAGCUGCAGGCACUGGAGAAACAGCAGGUGCAGGCAGGGCCUUCGGACCUCCCCUUUUCUAACCAAGAACAGGCCAUGACAUUUCCCACGAGAUACACACUCCCUUUGUACCAGGAAGAGAACAUCCUUAUCACCAAACACUGGGAGUGGAUGCCGAGGUGCAUCUGCACAAACACACUUAAUAAAAUAACCCUUUGCUUCCACCAGUUUUACUCGUUUCUCCCCCACGAAUCUUCCAGUUCCUCCCCCACGAUUUACUGCCCCCAGUCCAAACCUUUUUGUCUCAUCAUUUCUUCACA